rnacentral:rRNA from 1 species
CCUACGGGGGACAGCAGUGAGGAAUAUUGGUCAAUGGACGAGAGUCUGAACCAGCCAAGUAGCGUGAAGGAUGACUGCCCUAUGGGUUGUAAACUUCUUUUAUAAAGGAAUAAAACGAGGCACGUGUGCCUUUUUGCAUGUACUUUAUGAAUAAGGAUCGGCUAACUCCGUGCCAGCAGCCGCGGUAAUACGGAGGAUCCGAGCGUUAUCCGGAUUUAUUGGGUUUACAGGGAGCGUAGAUGGGUUGUUAAGUCAGUUGUGAAAGUUUGCGGCUCAACCGUGAAAUUGCAAUUGGUACUGGCAGUCGUGAGUACAGUUGAGGUAAGCGGAAUUCGUGGUGUAGCGGUGAAAUGCUUAGAUAUCACGAAGAACCCCGAUUGCGAAGGCAGCUUACUAAACUGUGACUGACAUUGAUGCUCGAAAGUGUGGGUAUCAAACAGGAUUAGAUACCCUGGUAGUC